GACGGUCUUGCUGUCACUUAUAGAUGGAUCCGCGCUGCAUUAGCUAGUUGGUAAGGUAACGGCUUACCAAGGCAACGAUGCAUAGCCGACCUGAGAGGGUGAUCGGCCACACUGGAACUGAGACACGGUCCAGACUCCUACGGGAGGCAGCAGUAGGGAAUCUUCCGCAAUGGGCGAAAGCCUGACGGAGCAACGCCGCGUGAGUGAUGAAGGUCUUCGGAUCGUAAAACUCUGUUAUUAGGGAAGAACAUAUGUGUAAGUAACUGUGCACAUCUUGACGGUACCUAAUCAGAAAGCCACGGCUAACUACGUGCCAGCAGCCGCGGUAAUACGUAGGUGGCAAGCGUUAUCCGGAAUUAUUGGGCGUAAAGCGCGCGUAG
rnacentral:rRNA from 1 species